rnacentral:rRNA from 1 species
UUUCCGCUGACGAGUGGCGCACGGGUGCGUAACGCGUAUACAACCUACCUUUUACAGGGGGAUAGCCUUUGGAAACGAAGAAUAAUACCCCAUAGCAAGUGAUUUUCGCAUGGAAGACACUUUAAAGAUUCGUCGGUAAAAGAUGGGUAUGCGUCCUAUUAGCUAGAUGGUGUGGUAACGGCACACCAUGGCAACGAUAGGUAGGGGCCCUGAGAGGGGGAUCCCCCACACUGGUACUGAGACACGGACCAGACUCCUACGGGAGGCAGCAGUGAGGAAUAUUGGACAAUGGGCGAGAGCCUGAUCCAGCCAUGCCGCGUGCAGGAAGACUGCCCUAUGGGUUGUAAACUGCUUUUAUACGGGAAGAAACCCGUCCACGUGUGGGCGGCUGACGGUACCGUAAGAAUAAGGAUCGGCUAACUCCGUGCCAGCAGCCGCGGUAAUACGGAGGAUCCGAGCGUUAUCCGGAAUCAUUGGGUUUAAAGGGUCCGUAGGUGGACGAUUAAGUCAGAGGUGAAAUCCUGCAGCUCAACUGUAGAAUUGCCUUUGAUACUGGUCGUCUUGAAUUAUUGUGAAGUGGUUAGAAUAUGUAGUGUAGC